CACCUCGGGAACUUGAAGAUCAAGAGAAGACACCACCCCAGGAGAAAUAACCAGAUAGAUCCAGGAUGUCUCUGCAACUGUUGAGUUGGAAUAUUAAUGGUUGCAAUAUUCCGGAGAAAAGGAAGAAAAUAUUUCAUAUAUUAAAAAAGAACAAUUGGACAUUAUUUGCUUACAAGAAACACAUGUGACGAGGCUCCACAGAAAAGUGUUAAUAAAUAAAAGAUUGGGCCAGGAAUUUAUUUCGUCGGAUAAAGUGAAGAAGAGAGGAGUGGUGAUAUAUGCAAAAGAGAGCCUGUCACCUAAAUUUCUAUUUAAAGAUGAGCAUGGAAGGAUUUUGGCUAUUGAGAUACAAUAUCAAGGAGAGAAACUGCUGAUACUAGGAAUCUAUGCGCCUAAUGAAGGGAAAUCGGAAUUUUACAAGAAGUUGCAGGGGACAAUGCUGGAUCAUCUGGAUUACAACAACAUCAUAAUGAUGGGAGACAUGAACGGGGUCGUGUCAACUAACAUGGACAAGUCGCAAAGUCAAAACAUCACAAAAGAUGGCAGACUACCUAAAACUUUUUUUGAAAUGACUGACAAUAUGGACUUGAUCGACAUUUGGAGAACAAAGAACCCACUAGGUAGAGAAGGAACAUUCUUUUCUGAAGCCCAACUGACCUGGACAAGAAUCGACCAAAUAUGGAUCUCUAGAGGCCUGGCACCUAGGGUUAGAAAAGUGGAAAUCUGCCCAAAGACCUGUUCUGACCACAACGCAGUAAAGAUGGACAUGACACUACUACCAACUGGAUCCUUUAGAUGGAAGAUGAAUGACAAUUUGUUUAGAGAUCAGGAAAUUACCAAGAAGGCCCAAAAAGUUUUGAAAGAUUAUUUUGAGAUAAAUAUGAACAAUUCGGUGGAAAAAGAAUCGUCUGGGACGCAAGCAAAGCUGUUAUGAGGGGAUUCCUGAUACAACAGAAUGUAGUAAAGAAAAAACACAAAAUGAGAACAAAGACAAGAUGUUGGAUAAAAUAAAAGAAUUAGAGAAGAAAUUAAGAGUGAAUCCAAAGUCACAGCCAACUCUGAGAGAAAUUAAACUGUAUCAAACACAGUAUUCUAAAUUGAUAAAUCAGGAAAUUGAAUGGAAGAUCAAAUUAAUGAAACAAAAACGUUUGAGUCGGCGAAUAAAUGUGGAAAACUGCUAUCCUGGCAGUUGAAGAGAAGACAAAGAUUAAACACGGUUACAAAUUUAGAGGUUGAUGGAAGAAACAUUCAGAAUCCGGUGGACAUUAGAAAGUGUUUCCAGAGAUAUUUUAAAAAAUUAUAUACCCAAGGGCCGCAAGACGAAGUUGAGAUUAAACAAUUUUUGGCAAAAAAUGGAUUAUCUAAACUGUCACAAGAAAAUAGGACAAUCCUGAACUCUAAAAUAACACGACAGGAGAUUGAACAAGCUAUUCAGAACAUGCAACUUGGCAAAUCUCCAGGGCCAGACGGGCUGACCUCCAAGUAUUACAAGAUACUAAAAGACUAUUUGAUACAACCUUUGAUGGAGGUUAGCAAUGAAAUUAUGGAGGGGAAGAGGGCACCGGAUUCGUGGAAGGAAGCGUUUAUCACAUUGAUACCAAAGUCAGAAACUGAAAAGACACAACUGAAGAACUACCGUCCCAUCUCCCUUUUAAAUGUGGAUUACAAAAUAUUUGCAGAUAUUUUGGCAAGUAGAUUUAUAAAAGUUUUAAAUGAAGUAAUUCAUAAGGACCAGGCCGGUUUUCUCCCAGGUAGACAUUUGUUUGCUAACACAAGGAACAUUAUUGAUAUUUUGGAACUUCUCCAAACUGACAUAAAUACAAAAGCUGUUUUAAUUUUUAUAGAUGCGGAGAAGGCCUUUGAUAACAUUUCUUGGAAAUUUAUGAUGGGAAACUUAAAAGAGAUGGGAGUGGGACGGGGUUUUGAGAAUGGGAUUGAGGCGAUAUAUUCAGAACAGAAAGCAAAACUGAUAGUUAAUAAUGUGGUUACAGAAGAGUUCAAAAUUGAAAAAGGGACACGACAAGGUUGCCCUAUUUCCCCUUUGUUAUUUAUUUCGGUCCUGGAAGUGCUAUUGAACAUGAUUAGAGGGGACCAGCUGGUGGAAGGAAUUCAGGUUGGUCAGAAACAAUAUAAAUUAAAAGCUUUUGCAGAUGACCUGGUUUUGACCUUGCAGAAGCCAGAGCCUAGUACGAAAAGAGUAUUACAAUUGAUUAAUGAUUUUGGUCGGGUGGCGGGAUUUAAAUUAAACAAACAGAAAACUAAGGUUUUGGGGAAAAAUCUGACUGAGACAGAGUCAGAACGGUUUCAGAAUGAGACGGAACUUAAUGUGGUUAAAAAGUAAAAUACCUAGGGGUAAACAUAACAGCAAAAAUCUAAGUCUAUUUAAGGAUAAUUAUGAAAAAUGUUGGAUAGAAAUUAAGAGAGACUUAGACAGUUGGUCAAAAUUGAAACUUUCUUUGUUAGGCCGAAUUGCUGCGAUUAAGAUGAAUGUAUUGCCAAGAAUGUUGUUUUUAUUUCAAACACUGCAGGUAUUGGACAAAAUGGAGUGCUUUCAGAAGUGGCAGAGAGACAUUUCGAAGUUUGUCUGGCAGGGCAAAAAGCCCAGAAUUAAGUUUAAGAUAUUAACCGAUGCUAAACAAAGAGGGGCUUUGCCCUGCCAGACUUAAAGUUGUACUAUGAAGCCGCAGCGUUCUGCUGGCUAAAAGACUGGCUACUUCUUGAAGACACUGAUGUGUUAGAUUUGGAGGGGUUUAACAAUGUUUUUGGAUGGCAUGCAUAUUUAUGGUAUGACAAAGUUAAAGCAAAUAAGGCCUUUAAGAACCAUAUUGUUAGAAAAUCACUGUUUAAUGUCUGGACAAAAUAUAAAGACUUGCUGGAAAAUAAAACACCAAGGUGGCUUUCACCUUUGGAAGCUAAGGCUCGAAAAAGACCCAAUAUGGAGGCCAAAUGGCCAAAAUAUUGGGAAAUACUAGAAAAGAUGGAGACAAUUGGAAAUUGCAGAGCUUGGAGAAAAUGAAAGACAAAGUGCGAGAUUGGUUACACUAUGCUCAGAUUAAAGAAGUUUUUAAAAGUGAUAAGAAACUAGGGUUCCAGGUGGAGAAAUCGAAAUUAGAAACAGAAUUGUUAGAACCAAAGACUAAGAUACUUUCAAGGAUGUAUAACUUGCUGUUGGAAUGGAAUACACAGGAUGAAAUGGUUAAAUCGGCCAUGAUAAGGUGGGCACAGGAUAUUGGGUAUAAUAUUAUGUUUGAGGACUGGGAAAGGCUGUGGAGUAAUGGAUUGAAAUUUACUGCAUGUAAUGCUUUGAAAGAAAAUGUAAUGAAAAUGAUUUAUAGAUGGUAUAUGACCCCAGUCAAACUUGCAAAAAUUUACCACCUGUCUGACAACAAGUGCUGGAAAUGCAAAGAGUGUGAAGGAACGUUCUUUCACCUCUGGUGGACAUGCCCUAAAGUGAAGGCGUUCUGGGAAAUGAUUUAUAAUGAAUUGAAAAAGGUAUUUAAAUAUACUUUCACUAAGAAACCAGAGGCUUUCCUUUUGGGUAUUGUCAGCCAAGGGGUGGCAAAGAAGGACCAGACAUUUUUAUGUAUGCAACAACAGCAGCAAGGAUACUACUCGCAAAACAUUGGAAAACCCAAGAUCUACCCACACUGGAAGAAUGGCAGAUGCAACUGAUAGACUAUAUGCAACUGGCUGAAAUGACCGGCAGAAUCCGUGACCUGGGAGAAGAGAGAAUCGAGGAGGAUUGGAAGAAAUUUAAGAACUACCUACAAAAACAUUGUGAUUUGAUUGAAUGCUGAAUAAGAUGCUGGACUAAAUAACUGAGCACCACUUAACUUAGAAAUUUUUAAGGAAACAAGAAAAAUUGUGAAAGUUUAACUCUUUAUGAGAACUUUAAGAUUAUGAAAUAUCGAAGAGAUAUAAGAAUUUAAAUAAGAUGAUAAAUUGCUGACAAAAUGUUAUAAUGAUGAAGGUGGGAGCGGGAGAUGUGAGGAAGUCCAAAGAAAAUGUGAAAUUAUGUUAAGACGAAUGCUAUAUUGUUUAUUACAUCUAUUCCUAUUGUAAAACCCAAUAAAUUGCUU